rnacentral:lncRNA from 1 species
UGCAAAUAAACCCGGUCGAGUUGCCAUUCUCAUUCUACAGAGAAGAGAGAGAGAGAGAGAAAGAAAGAAGGUUGUAAGAGUUGUAAGAAUGGGGUUUAUGAGAGGAGAAGCACUAGUAUCGAAGGUAGCAGCUUUAGUAAAGUAUGUUGUUUUUCCAUCUGUAAUGGCAGCGUCUGUAAUUUAUUCUCCACCUGAUUACGUUAUCAAGAAGGAUAACGACCCCAACACCAAGUGAUCUGAAACAUAUUUCAAAUCUGGUUUGUUUAAUUUCCUUUUCUUGAUUUCUAGAUUUCUAGUUAGGUUAUUCUUUUUUAAUUAAAUUGAUUUGAUAUAUAAUCUGGUUCUGGUUCUGGUUUAGAUUAGAUUAGAUUAGAUUAUUUGCUUUUGAUUUAUUGUUGAAACUAGGGUUUGUCAUUAAAUUGAAAGAAAUUAUAGAUUAAUUCAUGGAAAAACGUAGAUUCUGAAGAAAUAGUUAGCUUUUUCUUGGGUUUGAUCAUAUGUAUUAUUUUUGACAUUAGCUGCUUUAUUAGAUAGAUUGGCGACCAGAAGUAAUCUAUGUAUGCACAUAUUAAAUGCUAUAAAAACAUGAAUUUCAAUUGUGAAAUAAAAAGGCUAAUGUGAUGUGGAAAGAAAAAACAAUGAGAAACAGAAAAGUUGUUAUACUGAAGAUUUACUGUAUUUAUGAAUCAGACUUUUUAAGGUUAGAGGAACCAGCUUGAAGUUUUAUUCGGAUAUAUACUCUUCGUCAUCAAGUACAAACAAGAAAUAUAAGCAAGGAAUGAAUCUUCAUGUUACUAAAGGGUUUGCUAGAAAUUAUAAUUUUCCUUUAUCAUUGUUAGGUUGUUUGAAUUUUAUUGAAUUCUCCCAUGCAAAAUUAUGUAUCAACAAGAGACAGUUGAUCGAUAACAACUGCACCUAUAAAUUUUUACACUCAGUUAGCUUUUAAAGGGAAAUGAGAAAGUAUGAUUUUCUUUGGAUAGAGAAAUUUUUUACACACUGUGCUCUUUCUUUUAUAAGUUCUGCACAUUCUCUUAUGUGUCUCCAAUGUUGUUUGUUGGGAUAUCUUCAUUUAAUAUAAUUUGUGGAUAUUUUUUCAUUGGGAGUUUUCCCAUUAUAAGAGGUAGCACUUAUGUUUCCGACAUGGGGAUUGAUAUCAGUUUCUCUGUGGAGAAUAUCUGUAUUUUUACUGUCUUUAUAGGUUACAAUCUUGAUAGUGAAGUUAAUGUAUGUAUCUAACAUGAAUCUUUUCAUACAGAAACUUUAUGCUGGUCCAGUUCCGUCUUCAAAAUGAUCGGUGUUCUGCCAUAGGUUAUGGUUGGUCGUUCUGCUUUUGUCUCUUUGUUUUUGUUCAAAAUGUAGAAAUGCAGAUCCCUAAUGAAGUGUAUCUGAAAUUGACUGAAAUGUUAAAUAAUUUCGUAUGUUAGUUUUUAUGCUUGCAUGUGAAGAAUAUCGAUAAAGAAACAUUAUUGUUUUUUCAAUUAUGUUCAUAUAAAUGAUUUGUAAGACACCCUUUGUUCGAGCUGUCAAGCAGAACAAAACAUUCUCAAUGAAAAACUAGUGCAAAACUAAAUCUGUGGUUCUGGCAUUUUUAGGCUUUCAGUCAAACUAGUAUCUUGGAGUUGUGAUGGUUUUACUUGCUUUCACACUGAAAAAUGAAGAACAUACGUGUGUUACCUAGCAGCUCAGCCCAUUACAUGUAUGUUCCGUUGAACGAUUUUUUUCAUCAGAUUUUGUAAGACGUCUCUGCUAAGUGCUAACCCUUUGCCGUAUAUGUCUGGCCAUUUGUAAUCAGUGCUUGGGGAUGAACUACAUCCUAAAGUCUUCCAAGUUAAAUACUAAGAGUGCUACACUAACAGACUCGAUAACACAGAAAGUAUGCAGUCAAAAUAGUGCCCUAGGCUCAUCCCACCGCCUCACGCCUAGAGGCACCUAGUUCGCCGUGCAGUAUUGCCUACUGCCACCUACAGUCAAUGAGGCUCGUUCCUAUCCUUUAGGCUCAUCCUUGGCGUCUAUAUAGUAGAUAUGAAGCAAUUUCCAUCUCUCUUUGAAGUUGUGAAUGGUCUUGUUCAUGAAGAGAAUACAUACAUUAAUAAGGGGUUGAAAGCUAUUUACAUGAACUUGCAACCCUUUUAUGUAUGUGACUGUAACACAGACUGUACCAUAUAUAGAUAUCUGCACAGGAUGGUGACACCUCAGAAUUAGGUUGGUUGGCACUUAAUUUCAGUCGGUAGAGUGAGACAAUAGCUUGAUCAUUUGCUAGUUGGUGAUGCUUGCAUUGGACGGUGCUACCACAUAGAGACAAAUGCCCUCAAAGUAUUUUCCGUAGGGCACUCAUGAGAGCAAAGAAGUCGGUUCUUUUGAGUUGCAAACUAGUGGUAGGUAAACUUCAACAAAUUCAAAUUAAUUUCACAAAAUGAUAUAUUAUCAAGUGUGGUGGCCCAUGGGUAUACUCUAGACAUACAUAUUUUAAGGAUGCUUAGAGGCCAAAUUCAACAGUGAAUACUGUGUGAAUAGAAUUGUUUUUUUUAGCAGCAAGUAUGAAUAGAAUUGUAGAAGUGGAUGCUGGUGAAGCAAGUAGAGUUAAGGACUGCUGUGCAAAAUCAAUAAGGUUCAAGCGCAAGGUACCAAGAUAUAUUCACCUCAACUUCCUCAAAGGCUCAAACCAGUUUGAUUGAUCAAGAUUUAAUCUUACAUGGAGAGCCAGUAAUCAAUUUUGGUACUAGGAUGUGGUUUGUGCUUUGCUCUUGUGCCCUCUUAAAAGUUUUCACUCUACCUCCUUAGUCCACACUUGAGCUACUAAGAUUUGGCCUGGCCUAAAAGACAUUGUUUGUUUCUUAGCAACCUUAUCCUCCUAGGGUCACACUUUAGUAGGUAUAGUUGAAAAGAAUUAGCGAAUUCAUUCAACACAAAAAGUUCUUAACAUGUUCUUUGGAAGCAACUGUUGAAAUUUGCUUGCUAGAAUUCCUUUUGGGUGGCCUGACGGACGAGGUCACCAUACUAAAUAAGGCCGUAAGCAGUGGCUCGACAGAUAUGGUUCGAAUCAAGCGAAACCAAAGGCAUUCGUUGGCACCCGAGAUGCCAAGGCGUUAGAGAACCACUUUUGGGAUAUGGAGCGGCUUGUCGGACUACGCCCGAGGAGGCGUUUACAAGCUUGUGAUAUUUGGGAGCUAUAUGCUCGAUUCCAAGUAAAUGAAUUCACCACGCUUUUCCAUUUAAAGCUGUUUAUGCACUGCUUGUCCACUACUCUCUGUUACUAUAUUCUGACUGUAUUAAGGCAACCAUGCAAGCAUAAAACUCCAAGCACCUACGCAUGCAGUUAGAACCCUUUGUCCAGCAUCAAUAAAUGUGACAACUAACCCAUAAUCUCAUCAUUCCCGUCACAUCAGAUAAUUCACAAGGGAGUAGAGAAUCCAGAGAAGCAAUCUUUGAACAGAAAACACCAAAUACAUAUAUGCCAAACAAUCCAUCUUACAGCCCCAAAAUAUGAUAAUUUGGAUUAUAUAUUUAUAACUAUUUAUAGAAGUAUAUAAGAUAUUAAUUAAGCAUCCUGAGGUCCAUAUUGGAUCUCUUGUGCAUCAGAUGAUGGGAGGUGGAGGAUCUAGCAUCAUCUGAAAGCGAGUCCUGUUGAAAGCAACUGAAGUAGACAUUUCAUGAACUGUAUCAACAUCAUCAGCUGAAAACCCCAAAACACUGCUACAAUCCAUCUCAAAAGACAAUGGGUCUUGCCAUAGAUUUUGUUGAACUUUAUCCAUACAGUUGAAGGUAGCAUCAAAGGGUUGAAAAUGGGGAAAGUUGGUCUCCCUCUUGAACUGUUUGGGAACAGUAGGUUCUUUCAAAAUGCUGUCUUGAUUUGAGAGGGAGUUUUUAAACAUGAAGGAUGAUAAUGGGCUGGUGUCUUUUAUUGAUGUUGGUGAGUAGGUGGAUUGGAAGUUUGUAUGGAAAUCAUGAAGUUGAAUGGCAUAUGGGUUGAGUAUAGCUUUGAGAUCAGAUUCUUGCUUAAGAGCAAAAGAGUUUUGAAGGGAGUGUAAUGGUGUCUGAGUUACUGUAGUGGAGGAUUCAAGCAUUGGUGGCAGAAAGUUUGAAGGGGAAGAAAAUACUUCUUGAAAGCAGGUGUGGGCAUGGAAUAGUGGGGAUUUCUUCUCUCCUGUCUUUUGCAGUAUUCUGCAAAGAACCCAUUCUUCCUGCAACACAGUAGUUAAAGUUCAAUAACUCAUUCAGAGCACCAGAGUGCACAGUUUAACUAGAGAGCCACAGGACAAUGGUUCCUAUACCUUAAACGUGUGGCUAAAGGAAGAGAAGUCACCCUCAAGGCGAUACUCAUGCAUAACCCACUUGGUCUUCACACCACGAGGAGCUCUUCCUUUGUAGAAAACAAGUGUUUUCUUCAUACCAAGUAAUGAAUCAUCUGAAGCACUAUAAACCUCUUUAUCUUUACCAGUUGCUUUCCAGUAGCCAGCUUCAGUUGCUCUGUUGGUUCUCAACCCAGUUGGGUAUUUUCUAUCUCUUUGGCUAAAGAAGUACCACACUCUCUCUCCCAUUUUAGCUAUAUCUAAGAAUAUAUACCAAAGUAAAAAUAAAAAAAUGUACACCAGUUUAGUGACUAAUUACAUCAAGAAUAGACAUAAAGUGUAAAGAAGGUGCAGUGAUUAAGAAAAAAGCUUUCACUUAAAAGAUUGAUGCCAACCCAAAAUAGAAAAAACUAGAGAAUCUUUAAAAGAUAGACAAGACUUUUCUUUGUUUUAGCACAUAACUUUAUGAAGCUCAUAAUGUAAAACAAGACUACUCAUUUAACAAUGUAUCUUUUCAGGAUACUGUGGUUUAGUCUAUGGGUAUUUUGAGUUUACAUGCAAUUUAUAGUGUUAUUAAGGGGGAAAAUGUAGUGCACUUACACAGUAAUUUCUCAACUUUUUCACAAGAUGAUUUCAAGACCAUGAUGAUAUGAGUGAGCAAUGUAAUAGCUUCUCUCAAGGGAUCACAGUUCUCAGAGAGUCUACUGAAUAAGAUUUCUCACCUUAGUUUCAGGACUUUGAUCAGAGAGCAAUGUAUUUAAUUAUUUAUGUACUUAGCCUAAAAAAAUGCACUUAAAAAUUCAAUCCAGAACAUGAUAUUUGAAGUUAGAAUGAAAAAGAACAUACCUGGUAACUCCCAAGGCUCACAUCUAUUAAGAUCAAUCUCUGCAAUCUCUACACCACAAAAUCUUCCAUUAAAAACUUUUGAAGCUAAAUAAAAAGUUAUAAGCUCUUCAUCAGUAGGGUGAAACCUAAACCCUGGAGGCAACCCUUGUUCAUUUGUGUCUUCUCCAUGUAGUUCACAUAGAACUUCUUCCAUACCAAACAUCAUCAUAAACACACAAAUGAAAGUAAGAAGAAGCUAUGUGAUGGAGAGAAAUUAUAUAUUACCCUUCUUGUGUUCACUGGUGAACAGAUGGUUAAGUAAAGCAUAUAUAUAUAUAGUAGAAAGAAGCACUGAAAUCGAAGAUAUGGGUUUAUUAAAGCCUAUGAGUGGACCUACAAGUGCACCUGAGAGUGGCCUAUAUAGAAGGGGAAGAAGAGUAGAAGGUAGAGAGAGGAGUUAAUGCUAAGAAGUUGGUUGCAGGCAUUUAUGCGUGCGUGUGUGAGCAUGUUGUCAUAUUGUAUUGCAUAGAUUAUAGAUAUUUAGAGUCAGGGGUUUCAGUGAGAAAAAUACAAAGAGAGGGGUGAUAUCAUCCUUGCCAAUUCGCCACCCUAGCAUUAAAUGUAAAUCAAAUCUGUAAAUAGUGGCAUAAAAUUUUGAUCAUCUUCGAAAAUUAUCAUACUUUACUGUUGUAGCUAUCCACACAUAUUUAUGUCUUGGGUUGGUUUAUGGCAAUGAGUCUACCAAACUAGUCUGCACUCUGCACUUCUGCAGGGUGAUUUAUAUUCCUUAGUAGAGAAGUUGCACAUAAAAUGGCCGUGUUUAGAAUCAUAAUAUUUGGAUGGUCAGCAUAUCAUGUUAGUUUAAUGACUUGAGCGCAAUGCCAAAUAAUACUUGUGCUGCCAAUGUAAUAUGAAUCCCAAAAAAGUAUUGUUGAAAUUUAUAGAUGCCGAUAAGUGGCAAAUAGAAAUAGUGAGUCCAAUCCAAUAUACUAUGCAUUUCACCAUUAAAAGAAAAGAGAAAAAAGACUUUUGUGGCAUCUAAUUUUAAUACUGUAUGUCCAAAAAAACUCAUAUCAAUCACACAGUAGAGAAAAUUUGAUGAAGACACUCUGAAUGGAGAUGGAAAUGUGUUAGAUCUGACUAGACCCAUGUCAAGAUCUACAUAUGUCAUCUGGAUUUGGGUUGGGUGAAGAAGUAAGAAGAACAGUAGGAAGUAGGAACCACAUUGGGAUAGUGGUGGGCGAAUGUAAUAAAUGAAAUUGGUGCAGUUAAUUUGAAGGACGACCUGCACACCACAACAGCGCCACUAGCUAGCUAGUACACUUUACCUGCUACAUCUGACGACCUGAUAACAAAUCUCUCUAGCUUAAAUUUUUUAUUUUUUUCUUCUUGGCAGGAUUCCCAAGGAGGUAGUAGAAGAAGAUAUAUACAGUAUGAAACAGUUAAGUUGAGGAAGGAAACAAGCAAAGUAGAUUCUCAUUUAAUUCUUUUGUAUCUUCCUCGAUCUCACUCUGUUAGCUUUCUUUUGUAAACUGAAAACCAC